CUCUGUAGCGCAAUGGAUAGCGCGUUGGACUUCCAAUCCAAAGGUCAUGGUUCGAAUAUAAGAAAGU